UACGGAGGGGGCUAGCGUUGUUCGGAAUUACUGGGCGUAAAGGGCGUGUAGGCGGCUUGCCAAGUCAGGCGUGAAAGCCCCGGGCUUAACCUGGGAACUGCGUUUGAGACUGGCAGGCUAGAGGUUGGAAGAGGAGAGUGGAAUUCCCAGUGUAGAGGUGAAAUUCGUAGAUAUUGGGAAGAACACCGGUGGCGAAGGCGGCUCUCUGGUCCACACCUGACGCUGAGGCGCGGAAGCGUGGGGAGAAAAUAGG
rnacentral:rRNA from 1 species